GGAGAGUUGUCCGAGCUGGUCGAAGGAGCACGAUUGGAAAUCGUGUAACCGUCAAAAGCGGUUCGUGGGUUCGAAUCCCAUGCUCUCCGCCA
rnacentral:tRNA from 1 species